rnacentral:snRNA from 1 species
UCUCUCAAAUAAAAUAAAUACAUUAUUUUUGGAAUGACACAGAGAACAUUAGCAUGGCCCCUACGUAAGGGUGACAUGCAAAUUCAUGAAGCGGUCCAGGUUUUU